rnacentral:tRNA from 1 species
GUCCCCGUAGCUCAACUGGAUAGAGCGUCGGCCUCCGAAGCCGAAGGUUGUUGGUUCGAAUCCAAUCGGGGAUA